rnacentral:lncRNA from 1 species
GGGUAUUAUAAAAUUUUGGGUGAGAUUCGAAUAGGGUCUUUCAGAUCCGGAUGGCUUUGGUUUUUAUGUAUAGUAACAUAAUAAUUAACAAAAAAUUAUAUAUUUAGGAAUGUCACUAAACAAUUUAUAAAAAAAUUAACUACAAAUAUCCGCACGGACGCGCAUGUCAAGCUUUAGUGUAUGUUAAAAACAGAUUUCGAAAG